rnacentral:lncRNA from 1 species
GUGUGUUGGCUAUUCAUAGUGAGGUUACAUAGUUUGACUGCAUGUUCUCUUGGUCCCUAGCCAUAUGGGUCCUUGUUGUGUAUGUUGGCUAUGUAGGUUCAGAUUCACUAUUUGGAGUAGGAUGCACUUAGAUGAAAUCUGUCGACCUUGGUAGAAAAGAAAAAAUCCUUUGCGAUUCAUAAGACUGAGUUCAAAAAAAUUUUUGGCUAGAAUAAGUGUGAAUACUCAAAAAGAGUUUUCAUGAGAAUCAUAAAUGAACUCGAGUCGAGCCAAUCUAGUAUAUGACUGAUAAUGGAGUUUGAUGAGUUCUCUAUG